rnacentral:tRNA from 1 species
AAGACCGUAGCUCAAAUGGAAGAGCACCGUCCUGCUAGGGCGGAGGUUGCCAGUUCGAUUCUGGCCGGUCUUG